UGUACCAUUCCAAUGAAGCCCCACUUAGGCUGUCUUGGAAGAAAUGCAUGAGUAGCUUUUCAUCUCUUGAGUACGCAGCCAUCUUCCUGCAGUAUGCUCGGAUGUGCGUCCUGGGACAGCUGACCCCUUGAUAUUUUUCAAAGGUAGGCACCUUGAAUUUGGCGGGUAUUUGCACGUCCGACACCAAGCACAUUUCAGCAGCAUCCAAGCCGAAGGCACUGGGUCCCUCCAUGGCCUUCAUUUUCUCCUCUAUGGCCUGGAACUUUCUGUCAAUUUCAGCACUGGUCGGUCCAAAAGCAUCAUAGACCGAUUCUUCCCUGGGGUUGUAGAAGGCAUCAUUCUGAUCGUCCACCUCAAAGCCAGGAGGGAUGACAAGAUUUGGGUUCACUGGACCUCCUCCUCCAAGCGGGGGUGCACC
rnacentral:lncRNA from 1 species